UACGUAGGGGGCAAGCGUUGUCCGGAAUCAUUGGGCGUAAAGCGCGCGUAGGCGGCCCGGUAAGUCCGCUGUGAAAGCCCCCGGCUCAACUGGGGAGGGUCACGCGAUACUGUUCGACUCGAAGGCAGGAGAGGGAAGUGGAAUUCCCGGUGUAGUGGUGAAAUGCGUAGAUAUCGGGAGGAACACCAGUGGCGAAGGCGACUUCCUGGCCUGUUCUUGACGCUGAGGCGCGAAAGCCAGGGGAGCAAACGGG
rnacentral:rRNA from 1 species